UUUCGACCUGAGGUCAGGCAAGAACACCCGCUGAACUUAAGCAUAUCAAUAAGC
rnacentral:rRNA from 5 species